rnacentral:snoRNA from 1 species
CUGUGACAAAGUUUUCACUUGUCUGACCUGAAAUAAGAAUGUAGGUAGCUUUUCCUAAGGU